UACGUAGGGGGCAAGCGUUGUCCGGCUUUAUUGGGCGUAAAGAGCGUGUAGGCGGCCAGACAGGUCCGUUGUGAAAACUCGAGGCUCAACCUCGAGACGCCGAUGGAAACCGUCUGGCUAGAGUCCGGAAGAGGAGAGUGGAAUUCCCGGUGUAGCGGUGAAAUGCGCAGAUAUCGGGAAGAACACCCGUGGCUAAGGCGGCUCUCUAGUACGGUACUGACGCUGAGACGCGAAAGCGUGGGGAGCGAACAGG
rnacentral:rRNA from 1 species